rnacentral:rRNA from 1 species
CGUGCAGGCGGAUUGGUAAGUUGGAUGUGAAAGCUCCUGGCUCAACUGGGAGAGGACGUUCAAUACUGCAAGUCUAGAGGGCGAGAGAGGGAGGUGGAAUUCCCGGUGUAGUGGUGAAAUGCGUAGAUAUCGGGAGGAACACCAGUGGCGAAGGCGGCCUCCUGGGUCGCACCUGACGCUAAGACGCGAAAGCUAGGGGAGCGAACG